rnacentral:rRNA from 1 species
UACGUAGGGGGCAAGCGUUGUCCGGAGUUACUGGGCGUAAAGCGCACGCAGGCGGUCUGUUAAGUUUGGAGUGACAGUUGGUGGCUCAACUACCAAAGUGCUUUGAAAACUGACAGACUUGAGGGCUUCAGAGGGACACGGAAUUCCGGGUGGAGUGGUGAAAUGCGUAGAGAUCCGGAGGAACACCAAAGGCGAAGGCAGUGUCCUGGGGAGUACCUGACGCUCAGGUGCGAAAGCCAGGGGAGCGAACGGG